CGGAACGUACCGAGUAAUGGGGGAGUAACUAAUCGAAAGAUUAGCUAAUACCGCAUAUUCUCUGAGGAGGAAAGCAGGGGACCUUCGGGCCUUGCGUUAUUCGAGCGGCCGAUAUCUGAUUAGCUAGUUGGUGGGGUAAAGGCCUACCAAGGCGACGAUCAGUAGCGGGUCUGAGAGGAUGAUCCGCCACACUGGGACUGAGACACGGCCCAG
rnacentral:rRNA from 1 species